UGCAGAUUACUGUUUCCGACAUGAUAAAUUAAAAAGAUUAAAAUAUUUCUAAUCAUGAUUAAUCUCAAUCUGUGAUAUUUCCUGAAAACUUGCAAUUAUUAUAAAAUCAUUUUAAAACCCUGUGUUACUUAAGUCAAGAUAGAAUAUGUGAUGGUAGAGUAUGAGUUUCUUAUUCUUGAUAUCAUUGUUGCUUGGAGAACUUAUUUCAAAAUAUUCAAAUUUCUAGCUACCAUCCUCAGUGUUUUAUAUGCCUGAUAAAACUGAAAUAUUAAUUACGAUUAUAAAAGCUAUCUGCUCUGUAUUGAGUUUGUUCAAAAUGAGUUAGACCCUUGUUGAGAGAUUUAUCAUGCUCCCA
rnacentral:lncRNA from 1 species